rnacentral:lncRNA from 12 species
CCUCAGACUUACCAAAUUUCACGGGAAUGACAGGGGGCUGCAACUGCCCCAUCCUCUGCGGGAGCCCAGUCAGGGGAGGCCCAUUUUGGAGGGCUGUGCCGGGCAGCCUUCUCUGCAGCUUCCCCACAGCUGAAUCUCUGCAAAUACAUUUGCAAAAUAUUUGUGUAGAUUCAAAGCCCCAGAGCACUGCCCGGCUCCCUUCUCUACCGUGUCACACUCACCUGCAGGAGAGGCCCCAGGCUAGGGCCAGCCCCGAGCUCCCAGGCCAAAAAGGAGAGUCUCAAUCCUACAAAAUGCCCCAAAGCACUGCCCGGCUCCCUUCUCUACCGUGUCACACUCACCUGCAGGAGAGGCCCCAGGCUGGGGCCAGCCCCGAGCUCCCGGGCCAAAAAGGAGAGUCUCAAUCCUACAAAAUGCCCCAAAAAGAGCCCGACCACAACUAAAAAACUCCCUGCCCAUAACCAAAUAAAAACAAAAAAAAUUCCCUUUAAAUACAGAAAACUUAUACCUAUUUUUAAUAUUUAAUUUCUAACCCUAUUCAUAUUUGAUAU